GACGAACGCUGGCGGCGUGCCUAAUACAUGCAAGUAGAACGCAGUUGCGAACGGGUGAGUAACGCGUAGGUAACUGCCUGGUAGCGGGGGAUAACUAUUGGAAACGAUAGCUAAUACCGCAUACUACCAGAUGGACCUGCGUUGUAUUAGCUCUGUGGUGAGGUAACGGCUCACCAAGGCAACGACACAUAUCCGACCUGGAAGGGUGAUCGGCCAACCUGGGACGGGGAAACGGGCCAGACUCCUACGGGAGGCAGCAGGAGGGAAGCUUCGGCAAUGGGGGGAAAGCUGACCGGGGAACGCCGCGUGAGUGAAGAAGGUUGUCGGAUCGUAAAGCUCUGUUGUUAAGGAAGCGGUACUUAACCAGAAAGGGACGGCUAACUACGUGCCAGCAGCCGCGGUAAUAC
rnacentral:rRNA from 1 species